UUUCAUUUCUCAGUCAUUUUCUUGAUGUUUUUGAAUCUUUGUGUGUUUCUUGUUCACAGCUCCAAACAUUUAUAAGUCCAGCUUUACUCUCUGAUCUGUUUCAGCAGCCACAACUACAACUACAGCACAGAGUUUCAGCUCCAGCUCAGGAAGCUCCACACCUUCAUUCACUUUGACUGGAGCCACUGAGGAAUCUGAAAGAGCAGCAUCUACAGAUGUGCUGCUGUAUGUGGGUCUGAUUCUGGCUGCCUCCAUCAUCCUGUUAUCAGUGGCUCUGCUGAUAUUCUGCAAGAAAAGAUCUUCUAAAGCAAACGACGGUCCUGUGGAAACAGCGCAUGCUGCUGUCACAGAGGAGGAGGCCGACUCGAGCAAACUCACCUACUCUGAGGUCAGGUUUUUCAAGACGAGCGUCGGCUCUCCCGACAGCGCCUCCCGCAGUAACACCAAUGAAGUCAUCUACUCUGCUCCUCGGGCCCGUGUGAGCUCCGACUCCACAGAUGAUCCGCUGUACUCCACUGUAGCUUAGCUUCAAUGCUGCUGCUGCCACAGUUCUCUGUAAAGGGACCAAAGGAAGCUGCAUUAACCUCGGGCACAGGUACAGUCACUGAUCCCUGCAGAGAUCCUGCAGCAUUAAAGUACAUGGACUCGUUCUUAUACAGCACGUUUCUACUCGAGCCCUCAAAGUGCUUCUUGCAUUCACACGAGCCUCUUUGAUACAGCUAAGUGCUUUCUGUAAUGGAGAAUACCUCAAUGAACUUUCACUCAGCACAUGCAGAAUCAUUGUUCACCUGUACAGGUUAAC